AGUGAACGCUGGCGGUAGGCCUAACACAUGCAAGUCGAACGGCAGCACAGUAAGAGCUUGCUCUUACGGGUGGCGAGUGGCGGACGGGUGAGGAAUACAUCGGAAUCUACUUUUUCGUGGGGGAUAACGUAGGGAAACUUACGCUAAUACCGCAUACGACCUACGGGUGAAAGCAGGGGAUCUUCGGACCUUGCGCGAUUGAAUGAGCCGAUGUCGGAUUAGCUAGUUGGCGGGGUAAAGGCCCACCAAGGCGACGAUCCGUAGCUGGUCUGAGAGGAUGAUCAGCCACACUGGAACUGAGACACGGUCCAGACUCCUACGGGAGGCAGCAGUGGGGAAUAUUGGACAAUGGGCGCAAGCCUGAUCCAGCCAUACCGCGUGGGUGAAGAAGGCCUUCGGGUUGUAUAGCCCUUUUGUUGGGAAAGAAAAGCAGCAGGUUAAUACCCCACUGUUCUGACGGUACCCAAAGAAUAAGCACCGGCUAACUUCGUG
rnacentral:rRNA from 1 species